UCGAGUCUUGACCGGGUUGUAGCUGGCCUUCCGAGGCAUGUGCACGCCCGGCUCAUCCCACUCUACACCUGUGCACUUACUGUGGGUUUCAGAUGGUGGAGCGUUCCUUUACGGGUUCGCGAAGCUGUCCGAGCCUGCGUUUAUUAUAAACCCUUUAAAGUAACAGAAUGUGUAUUGCGAUGUAACGCAUUUAUAUA
rnacentral:misc_RNA from 1 species